rnacentral:ncRNA from 1 species
CUUAUCAAGAGUGGCUGAGGGAACAGGCCCUGUGAAGCCCGGCAACCUGCGCGCAGCGUAAGGUGCCAAGUCCUGCGGGAAACCGGAAGAUAAG